GCCCUUCCCCUCCUGCAGACUGCGCAACCGCCACAUGCCCCGGGACACCAUGCCGGCAUUGUGAGCAGACUAAUCGCCACAUACCACUCGGUUUUCCUUCCUGGACUGCAUCACAGGCCCGGAGCCCUGCGGUUCCCACAUUGUUUCUGUCAUCAUCCCAAGAAGCAUAACUCUUGAGGCUGCGUCUGAGCGGGACAGCCUGUCUCAGCACGAGCUUGGACUCUUAUGUAAGUGGCUGUGGGGAGAACUGGCAGUAAACAAACAUUUUUCCAGCCAUUGUUUUCUUUGCUGUCUUGAAAUUUUUUUUUUUCCCCCUCUGGGGCCACUGCAGCUCUUCUGCCCCCAGGAUAGCAGAUUCCCAGCUUAGAAAUGCCUUGCGCGGCAUUUCCAGAUUCUAAAAUCAGAACGGAGUGAACCACAGUGUGCAAAGAAAUGCCUGAGCAUGGGAACAUGUAGAUGGCUUUGUCUGCAAGGGUAUUUGAAGCAGCGUGUCAGCAAGCUUGUCCACUCAGCUGUGCUGCUGAUAGCUGUUUGGUCUGGGAUUUGACCCCAAACAUCACGAUCCGAGAAGUAGGCCAUUUACAGACCAGUUCUGAGGAUGCUCAAUCCACAGAAGUCCUGUUUAUUUCUACCAGCUUCCAUUUCCAAGGACAAACUGAAUUUGGCCAUCUAUACGCUGCCUAAACUUUGCAUUUAAGGAGCUCUGAAGAGAAGCAGAAUAUUAACGUUAAAAUGAGAUUGUAUCGGUUGCAUAAUGAAUGUAGGAUAAAGAUGCCAGGCUGGCUCCCUGGAGGUAAAUCAACCCCCUAAAAGCUGCUACCUGAGUGGCACUGAGUAAUUAAACUGCAAACUGCACUGGAACAGGUUUCAAGUGGGACUGAGGAAGUAGUCGUAAACUAAAUGACUUCUGCAUCAUCAGGGGAUUAGUUUUUGUUUUGUUUUGCUUUGUUUUGUUUGUAAACCUCCACUUGAAAGCUGUCUUCUCUCUGCCAAAAGUUAGGGUGGUUCAGAGAACUCAUCUCCUGAUGUACAGAGAAACUGCCGGAGGCGAUUCUGAAGGGCAUCUUCUGGGAGCCAGUUUCGAAGAGCAUGAUUGGAUUAUAAAGAUGAUGAUAGCUAACAUUAAAAAUAUUCUUACUAUAUACAUGCAAGAACUGUGCUAACUGAAUAAAAG
rnacentral:lncRNA from 1 species